GCUGGGCGUGGUGGCGUGUGCCUGUAGUCCCAUCUACUUGGGAGGCUGAGGUGGGAGGAUGGCUUGAGCCAAGGAGGUGGAGGUUGCAGUGAGCCAUGAUCGUGCUGCCACUGCACUCUAGCCUGGGCAACAGAGCCAGACCCUAUCUCAG
ensembl:misc_RNA Metazoa_SRP Metazoan signal recognition particle RNA